AUUCCAGCUCCAAUAGCGUAUAUUAAAGUUGUUGCAGUUAAAAAGCUCGUAGUUGGAUUUCUGGUUGAAGCGACCGGUCGGGCGUUGAUUCGUCUGCACUGGAGUCGGUUUUGGCCAUCCUCUAGGAAAGUGCGUCUGGUAUUAAGUUGUCGGGCGUAUGAUCCUGGUCUUUUACUGUGAAAAAAUUAGAGUGUUUAAAGCAGGCCUUCGCCUUGAAUACAUUAGCAUGGAAUAAUAAGAUAGGACUUUGGUCUAUUUUGUUGGUUUGCAGACCGAAGUAAUGAAUAAUAGGGAUAGUUGGGGGUAUUUAUAUUCCGAUGUCAGAGGUGAAAUUCUUAGAUUUUCGGAAGAUAAACUUAUGCGAAAGCAUUUACCAAGGAUGUUUUCAUCA
rnacentral:rRNA from 1 species